UUUUUUAAAUUUUAGCCCAGCGAAAAUCCACGAAAUUUUAACACGAGUCGCAUACGUACGGCGGUCAAAACAAAGUCGAGUGCAACAACGAAAAAAUUGGCAAUGAUAAUCGGUGAAAAUCCGAUUGAAAACUAAUUAAAAUUUUGGUUUUUUCGUCGACAGACGAGCGCCGUUGUUUUUUCACGGAACCGACCGACUGCCGCACGCCGUAGCUGAUAAUGUGCUACACGAUAGAAGACGCGUAAAAACGUAAAAAUGUUGACAAUGUUGACCGUCGAUGAGAAAAAUUGCAAUUUCUUCUGCCGGCCGAAACGAGAGCACGAAUUCCGGGCAAACCGAAUCGUACACCAAUGUCCCGCUGUCAUAACGGUUAUAAUGUCGAAAAUACGCGCGAGCACCGCAUUUC